GUCCAUGCCGUAAACGUUGGGCGCUAGAUGUGGGGACCAUUCCACGGUUUCCGUGUCGCAGCUAACGCAUUAAGCGCCCCGCCUGGGGAGUACGGCCGCAAGGCUAAAACUCAAAGGAAUUGACGGGGGCCCCGCACAAGCGGCGGAGCAUGCGGAUUAAUUCGAUGCAACGCGAAGAACCUUACCAAGGCUUGACAUAUACGAGAACGCUGCAGAAAUGUAGAACUCUUUGGACACUCGUAUACAGGUGGUGCAUGGUUGUCGU
rnacentral:rRNA from 1 species